UUUUUUUAGACCAAGCCUCGCUCUGUUGCCCAGGCUGGAAUGCAGUGGUGUGAUCUCAGCUCACUGUAACUUCCACCUUCCAGGUUUCAGUGAUUCUCCUGCCUCAGCCUCCCGAGUAGCUGGGACUACAGGUGCCUGCCACCAUGCCUGGCUAAUUUUUGUGUUUUUAGUAGAAACAGUUUUUCACCAUGUUUGCCAGGCUGGUCUUGAACUCCCAACCUCAGGUAAUCUGCCAGCCUCUGCCUCCCAAAGUACUGGAGUUACAGGCAUGAGCCACUGUGCCUGGCCCUUUAAUACCUUUAUUAAGGAGUUGGUUAAUGCUUCAAAAAAAAUCUUGUUAAUCUGACAGUGGGGUCCAUAUGCUGGCCUUGCAUGAGUGUCCUGUUGACUUUAAUGAUGAAUUUAUAGAUAAACUGAACUUCUUUUAUCUUUUAAAAUUGGCCCUUACAGUCUCACAUGCCCACCUCUUCCAUGAUAGUCCCUGGGCCUCGAGUGGUUGCAUAGCUUUAAUUCCUGGCCCUGUGUCUUAGGAAUGCAGUUUAUUUUUAUUGGGGUCUCCUACCGGGUCUGAAGAUAAGGCUUUAAUUGCUAUCAGUGUUUAAGAUUUAUUAGGACUUGGCAUCCUUUUUCCACCCAGGAGUUAAAGCCCUGUAACUCAAAGUCACAGGGAAUUAAAAGCACAUACAGAAAGAUACAUGAAUGUAAUAACCUUAAUAUUUUUAAAAAAUUUUAAUCUCAGUUUUUUUCCUAAGCAAACUAAAACUUAAUAAUAAUGGCAUGGAAAUUGUUUCAAUAAACCAUAAAAUCCAUUAGACCGGUUACCAAAGCCGAAAGAAAAGACCUUCUUCAUUGCACAAUAUAUUAGGUUGGAAGAAAACAUUUCCUUUAGACCUUUAAGAAAACAUUGUUAGCAUUAAGCCACAACAUACAGAACUCGAGGAAAAAUCUUACAUGAGCUAACAAUAAGUUGAAGGAGAGCAUUACUAUUUUGAGCUGUUUAAAAGGGGAGAGAAAACCAAAACCAGUGAGAAGCAAUAAAAGUUGAACUUUGGGUUAAAAAAGUUGAAAAUAUCUUAUAAAUUAUUAAAAGUAAAUCAAUCCCUUUAAAAAGUCAUUGUUCUAACCAAUUAUUUAGUGUAUACACAUAUAUAUUUUUUACAUCAAGCCCAAUCUUUAGAAAGACCAUUAUAAUUUUCCUUUAAUAAUAGACAACUUGAUCAUAUAAAAGGGUUUUUUUGUUGUUGUUUUUUUUUGUUUUUGUUUUUUUUUUUUGUCUAAAUCCUCUUACUGUGACUUACACUGACCAUUCAUGAUAUGCUUCAACUUUCUGGUUUGUCCUGAACAUCCCUCUUUCUUAAAUAACCAGUCAUUUUAUUCUAGGACUAAAUUUACCACACAAGCUUCUUCUUUUAUAUAAAAUUAUUUGUCUUUAAACUUUCUUAACAAAAAAUUAGCCCCUCUUUAUUCUUAUAAUUUUCUUUACAUAUCUCUUAUUUCUUGAUUCCUUUUACCUUGUUUAAUACAUAACCUUUAAAUGUGUUUUGAAUUAGAACAAAAUUGUUCACCUUUUUAAAAAGGACACAUUUAUUUUUAGAAUGAAUGUCUUUCUACAAAUAGACUUUUAUUAGAAAAUACCCAAAUAAUGAAAUAUCUUUUGUUCAACUUAAUAUAUCUUAUGAUUCUAAAUUAUGAUAAGUUUGACUACAAGUAUUUAUCCCAUUAUAUUUACCCAAUUCUUUUAUUUUAAUCAUUUACCUAGAUUAUUUAUGAAAAUUGCAGUAGUCAUCAUUUAAAGUUAUGGCAACACCAUUGCAAAAUUAUAACUGAGACAGUUAAAAAUAUCUGGUCUAACUGACUCCAUGUUGCUUUUAACCUCCAAGAUGUUCUUGUUCUUCCCUAGGUGUAGGCAGAACUAACUUUGGGAGGAACUUAGCUUAUAGUUUAGCUUUGAAAACAAUAUGAUAACCUUCCUUUUCCAAAACAAACCUUACUGCUUGUAGACUAGACUGCCUAAAGGGACAAGAUUAAAAGUUAUGGUAAUUUUACAAAAUUCAAGCAGUAGCUAUUCUCAUUAAACCAAUAUCAAUGUCUUAUUUAUUAAAAAAUUACAGAAGCAAAGAUUAUUCGUUUGGGGUUGGUUUAUAGUUUUGUAACCCUUAUGCCGAAUUUUAACACCUUAUAGCAUUUUAUAGGGAUAAGUAUGAAAUUGCCUGAUUGAUAAAUGCAAACAAAAAUGUAUUCUGGCAAUUCUUAAGACAUUUUUAAUAUUAUUGUACUUUACCAAUAGUUUUAAAGCUAGCUUACUUGUUAAAUAUUUUACUUGUUAGGUAAACUUGAAAAAGCAUUUGACUAGUCUUUUCUUUUUUCCUGAUAAACUAUUUGAUUCUAGCACUUUUGUUUUCUUAAGCCAAUUAAUUAGAGCUCUUUUAUAUAUUUUAAGUAGUGAAACAUUGUGUACACAACACAUAAAUAAAUAGACACAUUAGGCAUGCAGAUAAAAGUAAAUCUUAAAGAUUUGCUUUCCAUUUUAAACUUUCAGAAUUCAUGAUAACCUGUUUAAAUAGGUAACCUGUAUCAAUUCUUGAUAACCCUAGGCAGUUGUCAGCUAAAUAGUUUUAAGUUUGCAUAUUAAAAGAAAUAACUCAGGUGAAAGUAAGAUAGCAAAAUUUACAUCACAAAUUAUAGAGAGAAAAACUUUGGUAUGCUAGAGGGAAAUUAAAAUGGAUUUAAUUGCCAAUUAAACAUGAAAUUAUAAAGUCUUUCUAAAUAUAAACACAUACACACACACACACACACACACACACACACACACACACACACACACACACACAGAGAGAUCCUACAGCUUUUACUUCAGAACUUUAGCCACGAGAUAAAUAAAAAUUUACUGACAGAAAACUUGUUGGAUCCAAAAUGUGGUUUUUAACUUAAUAGAAAAAUAACGCCAAAUUUAAAGCAGGCAGAAAAGAAAAUAGAGAAAAAAAGAGAACUUACGAACUGUAGAGUUUGCAGGUUGAACUUAGGCCUCUUUUUCCGUAUUGUAAAUGUGCACCAAGACCAUAUUACUUCCAUUUUACAUAAACUCUGGAAGUAGAGGUGUCAUAAAACCUACAGAGUGCUUGAAAGGGGGUCAUUCUCCAUGUUUUCUCCUCAUUCUUAGAUUAUUUGUUUCCCACAUUUUUAUUUCUUAAAGGGAGGAACUGAGCAUGGCCUAGGGUUUUUGUGUGGUGGAUCAGUGUUUGCUGCUUGUGGGCAGGACUCCACAGUGUGUUACCACUGAGUUGUUUCUACCCUCUUAUGUGUAGAGGGUAGUUUCUCUCUCCAGCUUCUCUCUCCAGAGGUCUGUGCUCUGAGAGGGUUGGAAACACCAGGUGAUCAUCCCUUAUAUAUGUUUCCUGAAGGAGCCUUUUUUAAAAAAAUUAAUUUUUAUUGGGGAUUUCCCUGCGGGGCCACUGCACAUCAUGGGGGGUCAACCCUCCCGAGACACUCCCAUGAGUCCCCUGGUCACCCAGGGGUGCCUAUUGUCUGGGAGGAGCAAAAUGCUCUUUCUCUUUGGAGCUGAGAAAACUCAGUCUCUCAUUUACCUAUGAAAACAACAGUUCAGUUCCUCAUGCAAAUGCACACAGACAAGCCAAGUCAAGAUUAAUUUUACAAGAAAAAGCAAAUAGGGAAGACCCUUUAGAAUGCAUCUCAUAACUAGAAUUAGGAUCCUUAAACAACGACUUCCUAGGAGGGGGAAAAACAGCCAAGACCACUUUCUGUAAACUGUGCUCAGCCACCCACUACUUUAUAGCUCUCAUCUGCCAUUACACACACCAAGGUCAAAUCCUCUCACAGUACAAGGUCAUCUGUGAAUACCCCCAAAGCCAAAGAAGUCAGGUAAUGCAAUACAGGAAAAUAGAGCUUUAGACCUAAAAAGAAUCUGCCCAGGACACUUGAAACUCCACAAAGAAAACAGAACACCCCAAAAGGGGUGAGUGGUGCCUUUGUUUUGAAUUAUUUAAAGGGGUUGAAGUCAUCAGAAACCUUCUCUAGACUUUUGGUACUACAGAUGGCAAAAGAGGGAAGGAGGUAUAAGGUGGAAGAAAAGUAAACAAAAGAACAUAUGUAUUUUUUUUUUUCUGAGACGAGAGACAAACCCAGAAACCAACCACAUGGUUUUGGGGUUUUGUUUUGUCUUUUUUUUUUCUUCCUCUUUUGCAGCUGCAAGAAAUUAUAACCAAAAUAGAGAAGCUUUGUUACCCAUACUUUGGAAUUGUCACUCAGAUUUGACAAAGUCAGGUAGAAUUGGUUAAAUCUGAUGGGAGAAAGACCAGAACAAACAACAACAAAAGAAACCAACAAUAUGAUUACUGAGCACUCUAAUGGUAAGGAGAAAUUUAGACCAGCUGGUUGUUAAAAAGUUACCCAAGACAAAACCCAUUCAGCUACUUACCUAGUGAUGGGUCUCAGGCUGAAAACUGCUUCCUACCAUCCUAAAAGCAGAAAAAAGAACUCGAAGUCAUCUUCCCUGCUGGGAGCGAGCUCAAACUC
rnacentral:lncRNA from 10 species